GAAAUAUUGCAAUUACAAAAUGCAAGUAUCAUGAACAUAUGAUAUGAUAAAAGAAAGCAAGUACAAAAAAGAAUGAUAUGGUUUUCAACAAAAAAUCAAAAGUUGCACACCCUCUUAGAAAAUAGCAUCACUAAUGCACCAAAAUACUGGAAAACUACUUCCUUUUGCAAGUAUUACAGCAAUGGGGGAAACAACUGAGGUUCCAAAUAUGUAAUUUUGUUCAAAUACUUAACCAGUAAUCCACUUCCAAGCCCCGCCCGAGCCCUGUUUCUGGACAGAUGAAGCGUCCAUGUCACGAUCCAAUUUGGAUUUCUCCUUUCGUAGAGCUUGAACUUCCUCCUCUAUGGACUGCAUAGACUCUAGUGUCUUUUGUAGCUCUGCUAUUUGUGCCUCCAGUUUAGCACAUCUUGAUCUCUCAGAUAUAAGUUGACCUUGAACUGACUGAAGCUCCUUAGACAAGUCGGCAUGAGUAGUAUUGACAUCUUCGAUUUUAUUCCUGAGAUCAGCAUUUUCUGCUCUGAUAUCUGCAAGUGAUGACUCCAACGCCUUUUUCUGUUCUCCCAGUGCACUAAUUUCGGCUAACAGACUUUGCUGGGUGUUAUCAACGUGAACUUCCUUAAAACUGGAAUCUUCCCUCUCAGAUAAGUACUUUUCUGGUUUAAUCAAGGCAUAUGCAGCUCUAACAGAAGCUGCAGCUGCUUCAGCUGCUGGUGACUGAAGUAUCUUGGGAUGUAAUACGUCCCUUGGUUUAGGCCUCAUAACAUAUACCUCAUUAUUGUACUUCCCGUUGUAUCCACCAAAAGCAACCAAGAAAUUCUCACCAUCAAGUGAUGCUGAAGAGACACUCAGUCCCUCACUUGCGAGUGGAUCUCUCCCCUUUACAGUUGCUAAAACUGACACUACAAGCUUCGACAUAUUUAACAUAAGUAUUUCUGGCACACCGCUUUUGUUAUCUCCACCACCAACAA
rnacentral:misc_RNA from 1 species